rnacentral:rRNA from 1 species
AGGACGAACGCUUGCGACGUGCCUAAGAAAUGCAAGUCGAACGGACAGUAGCAAUACUGUUAGUGGCGAACGGUCGCGUAACACGUGGGCAACCUGCCCCGAAGCGGGGGACAACAAUUCGAAAGGAUUGCUAAUACCGCAUGUGAAUCGUAGUGGCAUCACUAAGGAUUCAAAGCCGCAAGGCACUUCGGGAUGGGCCCGCGGCCUAUCAGCUAGUUGGAGAGGUAACGGCUCACCAAGGCUUCGACGGGUAGCUGGUCUGAGAGGACGAUCAGCCGGAUUGGGACUGAGAUACGGCCCAGACUCCUACGGGGGCAGCAAUUAGGAAUCUUGCGCAAUGGGCGAAAGCCUGACGCAGCGACGUCGCGUGAAGGAUGAAAUCUUUCGGGAUGUAAACUUCUUUUACCAGGGAAGAAUUUUGACGGUACCUGGUGAAUAAGCCCGGCUAACUACGUGCCAGCAGCCGC